UACGAAGGGGGCGAGCGUUGUUCGGAAUCACUGGGCGUAAAGGGCGCGUAGGCGGCCCUCUUAGUCGCGUGUGAAAGCCCCGGGCUCAACCUGGGAACGGCGCGCGAAACGGGAGGGCUGGAGUUCGGGAGAGGAGAGUGGAAUUCCCAGUGUAGAGGUGAAAUUCGUAGAUAUUGGGGAAGAAACACCGGUGGCGAAGGCGGCUCUCUGGGACCGAGACUGACGGCUG
rnacentral:rRNA from 1 species